UACUAACUUCUCAGGUAGGUGGGAACAUUUAUAUCUAUUCUCUAGCCCGAAGUCACCUUCCUGGUGUCUAACAAAACUUCUCAGGACCCCUCCUCACACUCACCAUGCUCCCUGGCUUUCUGGAUGGCCUGGGUCAACUUCUUGUGCUGCUUCAUACAGACUCCUGCAGAACAGAAAGGUAACUCUGCUCAUCCUAUCAGGCACAAUUGUACCCAGUUGAAAUUGAGAAGUUACCUAUUGGACUCCUCUACAACUUGUGUCAGAAGGGGGCUGAGAACAGUCACAUGCCCUCCGACUUCUGUAGUAACCAACCACACAGCUUCUGAUCUACUACCUCAGUGCAAGCUCAGAAGAGCACGUUCCCAUGACCAGCUUUAUAAGGUUUUAAUUCUUUAAGGAGCAAGUCCUGUCCUCCUCAUAAUGAAGGCUUUUCCAAAAAGUGCUUUAUGUACCUGCCCUCCAGUUGCAAGUCUCAGCCUGCCACCAACCAUCAACAUGACAAGGAAAUAAAACCUCAGGAGAAAA